rnacentral:rRNA from 1 species
CAGCCGCCACGGUAAAACGGAGGGGGCUAGCGUUGUUCGGAAUUACUGGGCGUAAAGCGCACGUAGGCGGCUUGGUAAGUUAGAGGUGAAAGCCUGGAGCUCAACUCCAGAAUUGCCUUUAAGACUGCCGAGCUAGCAGGUGAGAGUGGUAAGUGGAAUUCCGAGUGUAGAGGUGAAAUUCGUAGAUAUUCGGAAGAACACCAGUGGCGAAGGCGGCUUACUGGCUCAUACUGGACGCUGAGGUGCGAAAGCGUGGGGAGCAAACAGGAUUAGAGACCCGUGUAGUCCCUGUCUCUUAUAA